UCGAGGAUAUUCCUCAAUGGGCGAAAGCCUGAAGGAGCGACGCCGCGUGCAGGAAGAAGCCCCUCGGGGUGUAAACUGCUUUUCCCAGAGACGAAUUUUGACGGUAUCUGGGGAAUAAGGGGUGGCUAACUCUGUGCCAGAAGCCUCGGUAAUACAGAGACCCCAAACGUUGUCCGGAUUUAUUGGGCGUAAAGUGUCCGUAGGCGGUCAUUCAAGUUAAUGGUUAAAUUUCGGUGCUUAACAUCGGAACUGCUGUUAAUACUGUCUUGACUAGAGGUCGGGGGAAGCAAGCGGAACUGCCGGUGUAGUCGUAAUAAGCGUUGAUAUCGGCAGGAACACCAAAGGCAAAGGCAGCUUGCUAUAACGUACCUGACGCUGAGGGACGAAAGCGUGGGGAGCG
rnacentral:rRNA from 1 species